rnacentral:misc_RNA from 1 species
AAGUCGUAACAAGGUAACCGUAGGUGAACCUGCGGUUGGAUCAUUACUGAUUCGUAAAAUGCUUUGUGUAAUGUGUUUGGUUCCUUUUUUUCUUUGGUUUCAGGGGGGAGAGAGUCUUGACUUUUUUUUCUUCUGAGAUUGAGGGAAAGGGGGCCCACCGCUCACAAGACUAAAGCCGUUUACCAUCCUGUUUGCUUUGUAUUGUUGUCAGCUUCUGAGAUGAGGAAGGACCGCCCGUUAAAAAGGCUUGUGUCCAACCGAGUUUCGUUGGUUU